rnacentral:rRNA from 1 species
UGCCUAACACAUGCAAGUCGAACAGAUGAUAACCAGCCACUCGGGCGGACAUGAAGUGGCGAACGGGUGAGUAACAGCGUGACCAACCUGCCCCCUCGCUCCGGGACAACCUUGGGAAACCGAGGCUAAUACCGGAUACUCCUUGCCCCGCCUCCUGGGAGGGCUCCGGGAAAGCCCAGGACGGCAAGGGGAUGGGGUCGCGGCCCAUUAGGUAGUAGGCGGGGUAACGGCCCACCUAGCCCGCGAUGGGUAGCCGGGUUGAGAGACCGACCGGCCACAUUGGGACUGAGAUACGGCCCAGACUCCUACGGGAGGCAGCAGUGGGGAAUUUUGCGCAAUGGGGGAAACCUUGACGCAGCAACGCGCGCGUGCGGGACGACGGCCUUCGGGUUAGUAAACCGCUUUCAGCAGGGAAGAAAUUACGACGGUACCUGCAGAAGAAGACUACCAGGCUAACUACGUGCCAGCAGCCGCGGUAAUACGUAGGGAGCGAGCGUUAUCCGGAUUCAUUGGGCGUAAAGAGCGCGUAGGCGGCCUCUCAAGCGGGAUCUCUAAUCCGAGGGCUCAACCCCCGGCCGGAUCCCGAACUGGGAGGCUCGAGUUCGGUAGAGGCAGGCGGAAUUCCCGGUGUAGCGGUGGAAUGCGCAGAUAUCGGGAAGAACACCGAUGGCGAAGGCAGCCUGCUGGGCCGCAACUGACGCUGAGGCGCGAAAGCUAGGGGAGCGAACAGGAUUAGAUACCCUGGUAGUCCUAGCCGUAAACGAUGGAUACUAGGUGUGGGGGGCUCCGCCCUCCGUGCCGCAGCCAACGCAUUAAGUAUCCCGCCUGGGGAGUACGGCUCGCAAGGCUAUAAACUCAAAGGAAUUUGACGGGGGCACCGCACAAGCACCGGAGCAUGUGGCUUAAUUCGAAGCAACGCGAAGAACCUUACCAGGGCUUCGACAUGGACCGUGAUAGCCGGGGAAACCCGGUGGCCGAGAGGAGCGUCACGCAGGUGGUGACAUGGCUGUCUGUCGAGUCUCGUGUCGUGAGUAUGUUAGGGUUAAGAUGCCCGCAUACGGAGCGCAAACCCCAUGCCCCAUGUUGCCAGCAUUAGGUUGGGGACUCAUGGGGGACUGCCGGCGUACAAGCCGGAGGAAGGUGGGGACGGACGUGCAAGUCAUCAUGCCCUUUAUGCCCUGGGCUGCACACGUGCUACAAUGGCCGGUACAACGGGCUGCGAGACCGCGAGGUCGAGCGAGAUCCCUCAAAGCCGGCCCCAGUUCGGAUCGGAGGCUGCAACCCGCCUCCGUGAAGUCGGAGUUGCUAGUAAUCGCGGAUCAGCAUGCCGCGGUGAAUACGUUCCCGGGCCUUGUACACACCGCCCGUCACACCACCCGAGUCGUCUGCACCCGAAGCCGCCGGCCCGAACCCGCAAGGGGCGGAGGCGUC